rnacentral:rRNA from 1 species
GACAGAGGGUGCAAACGUUGUUCGGAAUUACUGGGCGUAAAGCGUGUGUAGGCGGCCAUGCAAGUCGGAUGUGAAAGCCCCGGGCUCAACCCGGGAAGUGCACCCGAAACUGCAUAGCUUGAGUAUCGGAGAGGUUGGUGGAAUUCUCGGUGUAGAGGUGAAAUUCGUAGAUAUCGAGAGGAACACCGGUGGCGAAGGCGGCCAACUGGACGAAUACUGACGCUGAGACACGAAAGCGUGGGGAGCAAACAGG